GGGAUCGAACCCAGGUCUCCCCCAUUGCAGGCGGUGAGCCACCAGGGAAGCCCGACACUCAGUGGGUGCUUAUUACACACUUGCUGAAUGAAUGACCCUGCAAGAGUGGAUGCUGCCACGCCCCUGGGUGAAGUGGGAAGCUCCAGGGAGCCCUAUGGUUCACAAUCGCCCUGUGAACUGUCGCGCACCGUGUUCCCUGGAAUCCACGGCUGGGUCCUGUUGGGGGCAAUGGGCCAACACAGGGGACCGCUAUGCAACAAGCCACAGGGAAGUCACUCAGUCAUGUCCGACUCUUUGCGACCCCAUGGACUGUAGCUCACCAGGCUCCUCUGUUCGUGGGAUUCUCCAGGCAAGAAUACUGGAGAGGGUUGCCAUUUCCUUCUCCAGGGGAUCUUCCCAACCCAGGGAUCAAACCCAGGUCUCUUGCAUUGCAGGCAGAUGCUUUAACCUCUGAGCCACCAGGGGCAGCAAUUUUAGUUUGCUUUGUUCUGUGCUGUGACUCUGGUAUAGAGGUCUGCACACAGAAAGAGCUCAAUAAAUGUUUGUUGAAUAAAUGAAUG
ensembl:lncRNA